UACGUAGGCAGCAAGCGUUGUUCGGAAUUACUGGGCGUAAAGAGUGUGUAGGCGGUGCUCCAAGUCUGGUGUGAAAUCUCCCGGCUUAACUGGGAGGGUGCAUUAGAAACUGGAAUGCUAGAGGAUGGGAGAGGUAAGCGGAAUUCUCGGUGUAGUCGUAAUAAGCGUUGAUAUCGAGAAGAACACCAAAUGCGAAGGCAGCUUACUGGUACGUUUCUGACACUCAUGGACGAAAGCGUGGGGAGCAAACAGG
rnacentral:rRNA from 1 species